ACGGAAGGCAGCAGUGAGGAAUAUUGGUCAAUGGGCGAGAGCCUGAACCAGCCAAGUCGCGUGAAGGAUGAAGGUUCUAUGGAUUGUAAACUUCUUUUGUUCGGGGGUAAAGUGAGUCACGUGUGGCUUAUUGCAAGUAUCGAACGAAUAAGCAUCGGCUAACUCCGUGCCAGCAGCCGCGGUAAUACGGAGGAUGCGAGCGUUAUCCGGAUUUAUUGGGUUUAAAGGGUGCGUAGGCGGGAUGUUAAGUCAGCGGUUAAAUAGUGUAGCUCAACUAUACUUCGCCGUUGAAACUGGCGUUCUUGAGUGUAAACGAGGUAGGCGGAAUGUGACGUGUAGCGGUGAAAUGCUUAGAUAUGCUGCAGAACUCCGAUUGCGAAGGCAGCUGUCCAGAGAUGUACUGACGCUGAGGCACGAAAGCAUGGGUAUCAAACAGGAUUAGAUACCCUGGUA
rnacentral:rRNA from 1 species